UCCGCAUCACAUCAUGCGCGGGUGCUAACGUUGGCGUGCUGGCCUCUGCCCGGCGUAGUGUAUCCGCGUGGAAGCACUGUCCGGCCUGUCGGGGAAAGACGGGGAGAGGGUCUCCCGCGCCAUGGCGACCAACUGCUUUAUGCUAGUGCCUUCCAUUGCCGUGCCACUGGUUGCGGUACUGGUGCUUCUCUGGUUCGGCUUCCAGCAGCACCGCGACGAUCGGCAGCCGGCUCCGACCGUGGCCGUGUUGUCGCCGCCCGAUCCUGCCGACACCGACUUCACGAUCAAACAGUCGUACUCCACCCUGCACCUGUUCGAGUCGACGGCCGUGUGUAGCGAUUCCGAUAUCUGCAGCCAAAUCGGCCGCGAUCUGCUGCGACGAAACGGGUCAGCAGUGGACGCCGCGGUGGGGAUGAUGUUCUGCGCCGGGCUCACGAACCUGCAGUCGAUGGGUCUGGGCGGUGGCUUCGUGAUGAACAUCUACCAGCGCCAGGACCGGUGCGCGUACACGCUGGACGCCCGGGAGAUAGCUGCCGGCGGGGCGAAGGAAGACAUGCACCUGUACGAUCCGAGCACCACCAACGAGGGCCCCCUGUCGGUGGCGGUUCCGGGCGAGCUGAAGGGGUACUGGGAGGCGCACCGGCGCUUCGGGGCGCUGCCGUGGGCGGAAGUGCUGCAGCCGGCGCAAGCCCUCUGCCGACGUGGCAUUCCCAUCACCAAGCACAUGCACGACUCCCUGACGUUCAACGCGAAAGCGCUGUCCGACGAGCGUAUCCGGGACCUCUUCACCGAUCCGGCCACCGGCCAGCGGAAGCAGCAGGGUGAGCUGAUCCAUCCGCGGGCGCUCUGCGACACGCUCGACCACGUAGCGAUCGCGGGCGGAGAUGCGCUGUACCGGGGCGAAUUGGCCGCCCAGUUUGCGGCGGAUCUGCGUGACGUGGGUAGCAUUCUGACGGCGGAAGAUCUCGCUCGCUACAGCGUACGGUGGAACGAGUCGCUGCCCAUCGACCUCAACGGGGACACGAUGUACGUGGUGCCGCCUCCCGCCAGUGGCAUCCUCCUGGCGUUGAUCAUGAACAUCCUCAAGGGCUUCGGGUUCCGGGCGAGCGACACUCGCACCGCCGAGUCCGCCAUCCGCACGACGCACCGGAUCGUGGAGGCAUUCAAGUUCGCGUACGGCAAGCGCACGGAGCUCGGCGAUCCGGCGUUUACGGACGUGCUGGAGCUCACGCGGAACCUGACCGCACCCGAGUACGCCGAGGCGGUGCGCCGGCGCAUCGAUGACGAUCGAACGCACCACCGGCCGGAGGACUACGAUGGUCAUUUCUUUACGCCCAACAAUGACGGCACGGCCCACAUCUCAGUGCUAGCACCGUCCGGUGAUGCCGUUUCGGCUACGAGUUCCAUCAAUUUCUAUUUCGGCGCCGGAAUAAUGGGCCCUCGGACCGGCAUCAUCCUGAACAGUGGCAUGGAUGACUUCUCCUCACCAGGGCUGAGCAACUACUUUGGUUUGCCCGGGACAAAGGCGAACUUCAUACGCCCGUACAAGCGCGCCCUGUCAUCGAUGUGUCCUACGAUUGUGACUGAUCCCUUCCACAACGUAAAGCUGGUCGUGGGUGCUGCCGGUGGUACCAAGAUCACCACGGCAGUCGCGUUGACACUGGCACGCGCCCUCUGGUUCGACUACGACAUCAAGGAAGCAGUCGAUGCUCCACGGUUCCACCACCAGCUCAUACCGAUGGCAGUCCAGUACGAAUACGGAAAUCUCGAGGUGAUUGUCAAAGGCUGGCAGCAGAAAGGGCACCAGACCAUGCGCUACCGAGAGCGUGGCUCGAUCGUUUGCGCAAUCGCCAAAAACGCGUCGGGCGUGUACGGCAAUGCUGACUUUCGGAAGGGGGGCAAUGUGGCCGGGUUCUAAAGCACUCGCUACGUGCAAUCCUGUAAGCUGUGUCCUUGUUUUCACUCAUCAUAAUUCCUGAAGAGCGAAAGCUGUCAGCGAAGAGUGAACCAAUUCCACACAGUCAACUCGUUCAUGAUUCGUGUGCUCAACCAAUAACCCUGCGAAUGAUAUGGAGAAACGGUCACUGGAAAACCGGUAUGGAAUAUAGUAAGCGGAGGCUGAAGCGCAUCGAGAGCUCCGAAAAGUUAACGGAGUCGCUGCUCGACGAGUCGUGCUUAGUUUCUGAUGCACUCAAGACCAAUGGUGCCAAUGUUUUCGUGAGCCUCGUGAAGGCAGGACUAAAAUCUCCAAAGAAGCUGAGGCGCUCGAUGAGAAUCAGUGGUAAACGGAAGAAGCGUUUCGGCUUCGGCAAUACGGGUUAACUGUCAGCUAUCAUUAUCAAGUAGUUAAAUGGUUCGAGAAUGAUUCGAAAUAAAGAAAUUUGGGUUCGUUAUGA